UUUAGUGAUUCUGUUAUAUUAUUCUAGACUGCCCUUUCCUUUAAUGUUGUCAAAAUUUCUAGAGUAUAAAAUGUUGGUAGUACAAAUCAACUUGCAUCUAAAGAAGAACCUCUAAGUGUCCCUUUUUCUUAAAAGUAAAACAUAUAGUUACCAGUUUAAAUGGGGAUUUGUUUAGUUUUAAUAUAAAAUAGUGCUCAAUACGGUAUGUUCACAAUUCAACAUAUAAAUACACUUUUAUAGUUAAAACAUUUUUCAGCCAAAUUCUUUACACAUCUAUUUAGGUCGCAGUGUCCGUACCGUAAUUCUUACAAAAAUGCGCAAUAACGAAAAGGCUACAUUUGACUUGACAGUGGCUUGGAAACACUACCAAGCCACUAUUUUUCUGUGUUAAAAAUGUAAUGUGAUGCAAAAUAUCAGUACAGUAAGUAUUAAAGAUCAAAGAGAAUCAAAAGACCGUCGGACAGUGUGGGAACUAGCUGGAUACUAUCCCUCUGCUUCUGUGCCUCCUCCUUUCUUCCCCUGUCAAAAAUCGUCACCUCUUGGAAGCAUCAUACCCGGAAGUACGCCGUCAAAAACGGCGAUUUGAACCAAUUAAUAUAUCAAUAUAGUUAAACCAGUAAGAUGCUUUUAUGUUGCCAAAUUGUGAUUAAAGCCAAAAUUUUUGAUCGGGGGCUUAUUGUUUCCCAAGUUUAAGAUACAUACGUAAACGUUUUUCACGUUUAGAGCACAAAGUAUUUAUUAGGAUUAAGAUUUUUUAUUAAAGAGGAUUUAUUGUUUGUGGAGAUGGUGGAAGCCUGCGGAAAGCUUGGCUUCACCUGUCAAUUGUAGCACAAGAGAGAAAAUGUGAAAUAUAGCAGCCAGUUUUUGGGAAUCUUUUUCUGGCAGUGAGGUGGAGAGCAGGGCUAGUUCUAGGAUGACACAUUAUACAAUGGUAACUUUGAUUUGGUAUUUGUGUUAGAGCAACUCAGGAGCACUGAUGGUGAGGAAAACCAGGCAGCAGAGAAUUAGCAGAGGCACUAAAGAAGGAUACAUCACAGAGCUUCAUGUUCUUGUCCCAGAGAUCUAAAUUAUAAAGAGGGUCCUGCCUUUAUUCUCAGUUGCUCCAACCCACUACUCACCAACCAGGAUCAUACAGACUUGGUGCUUAAUGACCGUGCAGAUACCGUCCACUGUGUGAAUGUGUCCAGCUUCAGGUGUCCGCUGGCAAGAACUACGCAACCGGAGACAUGUGCACAUCAACGUUUUGUGAUGGUGGGAGGUGCAGAGAACUACUGCCCAACUAAAUGUCUCAUUGAAGGCCAGUUUAAGGUGGAAGAAGAGGAGAUCACUCGCUUUUUAAACAGACCGAUUUUCUGUCAAAUACAAAUAGGUGUUUUACAUUGUAUUUACAAUUGUAUAUUAAAAUAUCCUUUCUUGAGUCACUUAUUAAUCUCUUAUCAGGUUUUCUGGCAGUUGUACAUGUACGUCCUAGUCCAGGCAUCUUUUGGUAUGAAGAUUCAAGAGAGUUUAUGCACAAAUCUAUAAAACAUCUUAAACAUUAGUGCUACAGUGAGGUGAUUUUAUUGGCUUCCAGUUUUCCCAGGGGGCAGUGCUCAGUACGAUCUACCCGAUGAUGACGAAGAAGUUGGUUAGCAGUAUGCCACCGAAGAGCCCGUUGAGGAAGCUGCCCAGCAGGGCUGACAGGGCGGCCGCAGCCACAGUACUUGAUGUGAGCGCCUCCUGCCACAGCGCGCUCAGAUGCAACUCCCUCUUUAGCAUGUGCAUCGCCCCGGAGAUCACUCCGGUGUUGUAGCCGAACAGAAAGCUGCCAAGGGCUUCAAAGACGACCAGAACAUAAACAAAGCUGGGUGUGACAUCUUGCUGGAACUGCUUACGCGAAGCCCUCUCCAAGUCCCAGAGAAG